GCGAUUUCUCCUACACAAAUAAUAUUUUUGGAAAAAAUGAACAUUUGCGAUCUAACUGAGUCUCCUCAUUGAAAACAUCCGAAGUUCUUCAAAGGAUGAACAAACGUGACGUUUUUCGCCUACCAAAAUAUUAUUUUUGGAAAAAAGGAACAUUUGCUAUCUAACUGGGAGUCUCCUGAGUGAAAGCAUCUGAAGUUCUUCAAAGUGUACCUGCAGAAUACAGCUGGUGAUGUCGGAGGCUAUCUUGGCAUGGGGUGUGUCUUCGUCUUUGCCCUGGGGGGUGAGGUUGUGUUCCAGACAGGACUCCCACAGACUCACUAACGCCCCCCCAUGGCGCUCGAUGGACCUCGUCUCCCUGAUCGCCGUGGUGAUGCGCGUGAUGCAGAUCUCCACCACCGCCUGGUCAUUGUCAUUGGUCAGGUAGUCCUGCAGCCAGCCAAUCAGAGGGGAAAUGGGUCCAGAAGAGGCCAAUCAGGAUCAAGAAACAAU
ensembl:lncRNA